rnacentral:rRNA from 1 species
UACGUAGGGGGCAAGCGUUGUCCGGAUUUAUUGGGCGUAAAGAGCGUGUAGGCGGCCAUACAGGUCAGCUGUGAAAACCCGAGGCUCAACCUCGGGCCUGCAGUGGGUACGGGCAGACUAGAGUGCGGUAGGGGAGAUUGGAAUUCCUGGUGUAGCGGUGGAAUGCGCAGAUAUCAGGAGGAACACCGAUGGCGAAGGCAGAUCUCUGGGCCGUAACUGGACGCUGAGGAGCGAAAGCAUGGGGAGC